AUAUGCUUACAUUCCCGUCCAUUGGGUCAUCUCCUCCCCUAUCACGAAGGUGUUCGAAUCCUGCGACGAUGGUCUUUGUACGAACCCUAGACCGCAAAACCCUAGCGCUAGAUCUAAACAUUAAUUCCACCUCCCUCCAUGCCCUCAAGCUCGCUGUCGAGGCCGGAUCCGGCGUCCCGGUCCAUCUCCAGCGCCUCUUUCUCUCCUCCCGCAGCCUCAUCCCCGCCGCCGUCGGCGGCGAUGGCGACUCCUCCACCACCCUCGCGGACCUCGCCGUCCGCCCAGACUCCACCUUGAUCCUCCACAUCCCCCUCCUCGGUGGCACCCAGACCGCCGCCGGCCCGGCGAGGCCCGCCCGCUACGAAUUCCUCAACUCCAGGCCGCCUCCGAACUACGUCGCCGGGCUCGGCCGUGGCGCCACCGGAUUCACCACCCGGUCCGAUAUCGGUCCCGCCCGCGCCGCCCCCGACCUCCCCGACCGCUCCGCCGCCGCCGUCGGCAGCGGCGUUGCUCCUGGCGUCGGCCGUGGCCGUGGCAAGGGAGCCGGCGGCGAGGAUGAGGAGGACGAGGAGGAGGCCGACGAGAAGGGAUACGAUGAGAACCAGAAGUUUGAUGAGUUCGAGGGGAACGAUGUUGGGCUCUUUGCCUCCGCCGAGUAUGAUGAGGACGACAAGGAGGCGGAUGCGGUGUGGGAGAGCAUCGAGAAGAGGAUGGAUUCGAGAAGGAAGGAUCGGAGGGAGGCGAGGCUGAAGCAGGAGAUCGAGAAAUACCGCGCUUCAAACCCUAAGAUCACGGAGCAGUUCGCUGACCUCAAGAGGAAGCUAGUUGAUCUGACCCCAGAGCAGUGGGAAAGCAUCCCUGAGAUUGGGGAUUACUCGCUCAGGAACAAGAAGAAGCGGUUCGAGAGCUUCGUGCCGGUGCCAGAUACCCUCCUUGAGAAGGCAAGGCAGGAGCAGGAGCACGUCACCGCCUUGGACCCCAAGAGCCGAGCAGCUGGGGGAAUGGAGACUCCAUGGUCGCAGACUCCGGUAACCGAUCUCACGGCCGUUGGAGAAGGGAGGGGCACAGUGCUUUCUUUGAAGCUGGAUCGGUUGUCUGACUCUGUUUCCGGGCUUACUGUUGUGGAUCCAAAGGGGUACCUAACUGAUCUCAAGAGUAUGAAGAUCACAAGUGAUGCUGAGAUUUCUGAUAUCAAGAAGGCAAGACUGUUGCUUAAGUCGGUGAUCCAGACAAACCCCAAGCAUCCGCCAGGAUGGAUUGCGGCGGCCAGGCUGGAGGAGGUUGCGGGGAAGAUCCAGGUAGCAAGGCAGUUGAUUCAGAAAGGGUGUGAAGAAUGCCCAAAGAACGAGGAUGUCUGGUUGGAAGCUUGUAGGCUGGCGAGCCCGGAUGAAGCCAAGGCAGUGAUUGCGAAAGGUGUGAAGGCUAUUCCGAACUCAGUGAAGCUAUGGUUACAGGCUGCGAAAUUGGAGCAUAAUGAUGUGAACCGCAGCAGAGUGUUGAGGAAAGGGUUGGAGUACAUCCCUGAUUCUGUGAGGUUGUGGAAGGCUGUUGUGGAAUUGGCAAACGAGGAGGAUGCAAGAGUUUUGCUCCAUAGGGCUGUGGAGUGCUGUCCGCUUCAUGUUGAGCUGUGGCUUGCACUCGCGAGGCUGGAAACCUAUGAGCAGGCGAAGAAGGUGCUCAACAAGGCAAGGGAGAGGCUUUCUAAGGAGCCUGCAAUUUGGAUCACUGCUGCAAAGCUUGAGGAAGCUAAUGGUAAUAUUGCAUCAGUUGGCAAGGUAAUCGAGAGAGGCAUAAGGUCUUUGCAGAGAGAAGGUCUGGAGAUUGACAGAGAAGCUUGGAUGAAGGAAGCAGAGGCUGCUGAACGAGCUGGAUCAGUUGCAACAUGUCAGGCUAUCAUUCACAAUACAAUUGGCAUUGGGGUGGAGGAAGAAGAUAGGAAGAGGACAUGGGUUGCGGAUGCUGAGGAGUGCAAGAAGCGUGGUUCAAUUGAGACGGCUCGGGCCAUCUAUGCACAUGCACUUACAGUGUUCCUAACCAAGAAGAGUAUUUGGCUCAAGGCAGCCCAGCUUGAGAAGAGCCAUGGGACUAGGGAAUCUCUUGAUGCCCUCCUAAGGAGGGCAGUCACUUAUAGGCCACAGGCUGAGGUACUAUGGCUGAUGGGUGCAAAAGAGAAGUGGUUGGCAGGAGAUGUUCCUGCAGCUCGAGCAAUUCUUCAGGAAGCAUAUGCUGCAAUUCCCAAUUCGGAGGAGAUUUGGCUUGCUGCAUUCAAGCUUGAGUUUGAGAACCAUGAGCCAGAGAGAGCAAGAAUGCUUCUAGCUAAAGCCCGGGAGAGAGGAGGAACUGAGAGGGUGUGGAUGAAGUCUGCUAUUGUUGAGAGGGAAUUAGGGAACAUCUCAGAGGAAAGGAGGCUGCUGGAGGAAGGAUUGAAGUUAUUCCCUUCAUUUUUCAAGUUGUGGCUGAUGCUUGGUCAGAUGGAGGAACGAUUUGGUCGAGGAGAACGGGCGAAGGAAGAUUAUGAAAAUGGUCUGAAACACUGCCCCAAUUGCAUCUCUCUUUGGCUCUCGCUUGCUAACCUAGAGGAAAGGAUGAAUGGUCUGAGCAAAGCUCGUGCUGUUCUUACUAUGGCUAGAAAGAAGAAUCCUCAGAGCCCAGAACUUUGGCUUGCAGCUAUUCGUGCUGAAUCCAGACAUGGGAACAAGAAGGAAGCAGAUUCCUUGAUGGCGAAAGCAUUGCAGGAAUGUCCAACAAGUGGGAUCUUGUGGGCUGCUUCCAUUGAGAUGGUUCCACGGCCUCAACGCAAAUCAAAAAGUGCAGAUGCUCUUAAACGGUGUGAUCAUGAUCCACAUGUUAUUGCAGCUGUGGCAAAACUCUUUUGGCAUGAUAGGAAGGUGGAUAAGGCAAGGAACUGGUUCAACAGGGCAGUUACUCUUGCUCCUGACAUUGGAGACUUCUGGGCUUUGUACUACAAAUUUGAACUUCAACAUGGUACUGAGGAACAGCAAAAGGAUGUCCUGAAAAGAUGCAUUUCUGCAGAACCAAAGCAUGGUGAGAGAUGGCAAGCAAUCUCCAAGGCUGUGGAGAAUUCCCACCUGCCAAUUGAAGCCGUUCUCAAGAAAGCAGUGGUUGUUCUGGGUAAAGAAGAGAGCUCUACCACCACAGAUGGCAUCAAGUCCUAAAUUUUGUAAUACAGCAGCCAAAAUUUCGUAAGGUGUGGUGGGUGUUUUGAUGUAGAAGCUUUCUAUUUGCUUCUUCUUUAUGGUCAACUCUAUCCUGAAGAGAAGAAUUCAAAACAUUUCGAGCCUCAGCUUUCCUACCAUGGUUAUUCAGUCCUCUUAGGUAUCAGGGGAACCAGGUUCCUUGUGUACAUUUAAAGCUGAGAACAUCUUGCCAAGGUCAAGCUAACUUGCCAAAGUCAUUCCAUAUGGGUCUUCAGGUUGGAUAGUAUUCCUCAAGUAUCUAGGUAAUUAGGUUCACUUUCCAGUUAUUGUAUUGGAAUGUCAGUGUCUGUUUUAAUUGUUCUAUAUGCAAUUUCUAUAAGAACAUGACAUAAUGGAACUCUCUGAAAUAUUAAUGAUGUGUUAAGAUUGUAAGGAAUUGCAGUUUAACAAGUGACAUCAUGUUUGAUUAUUAAUCAUCUGCUUCUUGGACGUCCAAA